rnacentral:rRNA from 1 species
CUACGGGUGGCUGCAGUGGGGAAUAUUGCGCAAUGGGGGAAACCCUGACGCAGCGACGCCGCGUGCGGGAAGAAGGCUUUCGGGUCGUAAACCGCUGUCAGGAGGGAAGAAACCCUUGGACUCGAAUAGGGUCCUUGGCUGACGGUACCUCCAGAGGAAGCACCGGCUAACUCCGUGCCAGCAGCCGCGGUAAUACGGAGGGUGCGAGCGUUAAUCGGAAUCACUGGGCGGAAAGCGUGCGUAGGCGGCGAGGCAAGUCAGGGGUGAAAGCCCUCGGCUGAACCGAGGAAUUGCCUUUGAAACUGCUUGGCUUGAGUUCUGGAGAGGCAGGCGGAAUUCCGGGUGUAGGGGUGAAAUCCGUAGAUAUCCGGAGGAACAUCAGUGGCGAAGGCGGCCUGCUGGACAGAUACUGACGCUGAGGUACGAAAGCGUGGGGAGCAAACAGGAUUAGAUACCCUGGUAGUC